rnacentral:rRNA from 1 species
CGUAGGAAUCUACCUAGAUGUGGGGGAUAACAUGGUGAAAAUCAUGCUAAUACCGCAUAUGCCCUACGGGGUAAAGAGGGCCUCUUCUUGAAAGCUCUUGCAUUUAGAUGAGCCUGCGUCGGAUUAGCUUGUUGGCGGGGUAAUGGCCCACCAAGGCGACGAUCCGUAGCUGGUCUGAGAGGAUGAUCAGCCACACUGGGACUGAGACACGGCCCAG